AAAUUUUCAUUAAAAUCCCUGAUAAUAAUUGGCUGUAUUUAUACAUUUCUGGUGAUUUAUAAUUUUCAGAAAGCUUUCAUGUUAAUUCUUUUAAUCCUCCCAAAAAUCCUAUGAGGUUGGUGUUCAUAUAUGCCCUAUUUUACCAAAAGAAAACAAAACAAAAAACUAGGAAACUUAGAGACACGGAGUAGCAAUCCAAGCUUACAGAACAGUUGUUUGCCUCCACUGUCCCCACUUCUCACUGCCAUUCUGAUUUCCAGUUCCAACCCAUGGAAACUUGUGCUUGGGCUCCUACCACUUGACUAAAACUACUCUCAACAAGGUCUCCAGUAACCUCUUUGUGGGACCCUUUCAGUCCUUAUCUACCCAGACUAUCAUCAGCACUUGACUUUGUGGACCACACCCUUGCUUAGUUUCUGGGACACUACACUCAUUUAUUUUUUUUUUUCUCUUGCUUAAUCUGUUUCUCUUUUAAGGACUCCACUUCCUCUAUCUCAGAGCUUCCCAACAAACAGGAAACAAAGAGAUAUUGUUUCACCCAUGUGGGACCUGGAAGUACAGAACCUUAUAGCUGAUUGCUAUCAUUAGAAGCAUUUUUAUUUUGUGUUCCUGUGAUGGUCAUCCAAGAAAAGUGGAUCUGAAAGUGUGCCUCCCUCCGUCCCAGCAUCAUAUGGCACUCACUGUUCUAUUGAGUAGAUCUGGGAGAGGCCAAGUUGGACAUCAACUUUGGUAGCCCAAAGAGGAGAGUGCACAGCUCAAGAUACAACUGCCUGUGCAGGGGAAGCCAGAAGAUAGCCAUGUGAAGACAGAGAGACACACAAGGAGAACACCAUGUUAAGAUGAAGGCAGAUACUGAAUUGCUGCAAGUCGAGGAACACCAAAGAUUGAUGGCAAAUCACCAGAAGCAAGGAAGAGGCAAGGAAGGAUUGCCAUACAGGCUUCAGAAGGAACAUGGCUCUGCUGACAUCUUGAUUUUGGACUUUUAGUCUCCAUAAACCCAGAGAUCCAUCCCUAGGACCUUUCUUGAGUUCAUCUCCCAUCAAAGUGAAGACAGUGUGAAGAACCAUUCCUGGAAAAUAUCAUCAUGUUGAGGAAUCUCAAAUUCUGGCUAAAUGUAGUACACAAUCUAUGAAAAUUCAUUCACCCUAAGAUAGAGCCAAACAUGCCACAUAUAAUAGCUACCUAGCUCAUGGUGUUAAAGAGAAAUUAUUCACUGGACAUUUGUUGAAAAUGACAAGACAGAAUUUGUUUGAGCUACUGCAAUAGAAGAGAAAUACUUCAGUACAGAACUAAACCCAAUUUUGCAGAAAUAAAAGGUGGGAGGCUUUUUAAACAUCUGGGUGUACUAAAGAAAAAGUACUGAAGGACAGGACAUUAGUGGGGGUUGGCUCAAAAUGAUUAUUAGUCUGUCUUUGUCUGUCAAUUGGAACUUAUCAAAGUUAGGCACCUACACUCCCAGGGAGACUGCACAACAGGGCCUUAUCUUUCUUGGUGAUUACACUUCAAAGGGAUGGCUCCCAGGUCCUUGAGAAAGACAUUCCUGGAAUGUAGAGGAUACACCUCAAAGAGAGAAAAGAUUUACAAUAGCAAGUUUUCUAAAGUAAAUGCUCUAAGAAAAGAGAGAUCAGGGGCCUAUACUCAGGUUUUGGGCUGGAAUGAACAGUAAAUUCUUUUGGCAGUGUUGAGCUUUCUCAGGCAGGCAUUUUAAGGGAUCUGGGUUUGUCAUCCUGGGAACACAGCCUCGAGCUUACAGAAACUAUACUAGUGUUUGCCCAUGUCUCUUAGUUGGGAGGGCAGGAGGAGUUGGGAGAAAUAGUUUGUGCUUUCAGUCGCUGCUCUUAUAGGCCAGGAUUGAGGCCUAGUCAAGAAAAGGGCUUAGAGGAGCCUAACCAAAGUUUGGUCAAGAAGAGUCUUUGUCAACGACUGUAGGAAUCAAUAUAAAUUUCCUCCCAUCACACUAGUGUUCUUAAAGCUGUUAAGUUUUCACUAUAUUUUAAAUAUUUUGUGAAAAGCGUGGGUCAGACUAGAUGAACUUGAGAUGUCUAUUAACAUCAAUGUCCAAGAGGCAGAAAUUUAAUUCAUAUUAGUGGGGUGAGAAUAGAAUGUUUUAGAAAAGCUAAUGAUGAGCCUUCUGAUAUCUCUGUCUUUGGUUUGCAUCUUUCAUUAUAAGUAAGCAAGUGGACUCUGUACCCUUCUUAGAUAUCUUACCUUGAAACAUGCUUUUUUCUUGAGGGAAAAACCCAAAUCAUUGAACAGAUAUUUAUUAAGUACCUACUAUAAAUUAGGAACUUUUCUAGGCAUUGGGGCCACAGCAGUAAACAAGACCAACAGAUGUCUGUCUUGAGGAGGCUCACAUUCUAAUGGUGGGAGACAGACAAUAGGUAAAUACAUAAGACCACUUCAGAUAGAAAAUUUUAUAUAAAAUUACUAUAAAAUAAUCCAAACAGGGCCGGGUGUAGUGGCUCACACCUGUAAUCCCAGCAGUUUGGGAGGCCAAGGCGGGCAGAUCACCUGAGGUCAGGAGUUUGAGACCUGCCUGGCCAACAUGGUGAAAACCUGUCUCUACUAAAAAUACAAAAAUUAGCCAGGUGUAAUGGCGCACACCUAUAAUCCCAACUACUCGGGAGGCUGAGGCAGGUGAAUUGCUUGAACCCAGGAGGCAGAGGUUACAUGAACUGAGAUUGUGCCACAGCGUUCCAGCCUGGGCAAUAGAGCAAGGCUCCAUCUCUAAAAUAAUAAUAAUAAUAAUAAUCCAAACAGGAUUAUUUUAUAAUAAUUGUGAUGUGAUAGAGUGAUGGAGUGGGAGGGAUCUGCUUUAGAUGCAGAGGUCAGAGAACCUCUCUGAGCAGGCAUUUGAAUGAUCCUAUGGGCAUAACAAAGAUCUGGGGGAAGAGCAUUCAGGCCAAGGGAACAUGUGCAAAUGCCUCGAUGUGGAAAUAGUUUUGAUGAGUUUACAGAACAGAAAGGAACAGCUGAAGCAUAAUGAAUAAGCAGGGAGUGGUCUGAAAUGUGGCCAGAGAGGAAAGCCUGGUAAUACAGGGCCUUAUAGGCAGUUGUGAGGAGUUUGUACUUUAUUCUAGCUGCAAUGGAAACUCGUGAAGGUUGUUAAGCAGAGGAGUGAGAACAUCAGACUUAUAGAUAAAUCUUUUCAAAAAUCAUUUUGGUUUUCUGUGAAAAAAGAUUGAUAAGGGGCCAGAUUGGAAGUAGGAGAGUAGUUUUGAGGGUAUUCAAAAAUUCUGGAGGAAUUGUGAUGAUGGCUUGUUCUCAAGUGGUAGUAGUAAAGAUGGAGAGAUAUGAAUGAAUUCAAGUUAUAUUUGAAAGCGUAACUGACUUGUGAGUGGAUUAAGUAAAUGAAAAGGAGAAUCAAGCUAGAUGUAUUGACUUGAGGGAAAUACUGGAGGAAAAUGGGUUUGGAGAGGUGGAAAAGACUUAAGUGUAAAAGGAAAUGCCAAUCAGGCACUGCAUAUAUGAAUAUAGAAUUCAGGAAUGGUAAAAGCUCAAGAUGUCUAUUUGGGAGUCAUCAACAUAUGGACACUUCUUAAACACACCAGCUUUAGCGUUUGGGAAACACAAAACAGAAACAUUCUAGCCAAAUGGGCAGAGGAGGCAAAUGUAGUUUGUCUGUGUUAUUUAUUACAUUUUAUGGUAGUUAUUAUUGCACAUAGGCAUUUUAUAUGCUAUAUGUUAAAUGUGCCCUUAGGCAUACUCGGAAAUAUCAAGGGGGAAGAGAGUGAGAGAAAGGCCUUGCCAUUAAGUUUUAUAGUGUUGUAAUCCUCAAAAUACAUAUCAGUUUCUCAAGUCAACAGGCUCUACCUGCUCAUAAGAACAGUACACUCACUGUGUAGUAAAAAGGCAGAGGGCGGAAGUAUCAGUCAUUAUCUCCUGGUGCAUUCCUACCUUUUUGCUCAACAACUGUAAUAAAUUCAGUGACGCUUAGCUGUCACUCACUUCUGGAUACAAGAGGUUGGAGCAGAAGAGCUUUAAACAGAACUGCUUCCAUGGCCCAUCUGAGGCUAUGGCACAUUGUGUCAUGUAUGAUUACCGGAUAAUUGCAGCAAGUCUUUCAUGGCACAUCCCCAAAGAGUGUCACACUGGCCCUGUAGCAACCAGCAGGCAAUCUGACCAUAGUGUACUUAUGCCUAAUCUCUAUUUCUCAAGCAUCAAAUAAAUUGUCCUUUUUAUGAGAUUGUAUAUUAUCCUGCAGCAGGUCAAACAAUUCUAGAAUUUGGUCAACACUAUUCAGAUAUUAGAGGUGUUCAUUUGGAAAAGUAUGUUUUUCAUUGGCUCUGUGCUUAGCCACAGUGCAACCACACCCCCAGUCUGAGCAUUAUUAAUAAUAAUGAAGUCUUAACAUUAUUGUCAUUUCAUAACUAUUACUGGGCACCCAAAGUUUAAUAAUGAGUUUGUAGAAUUACCAAGGAAAAUUAUACUUCUGAAUCUUGGGCUGAGUUUUACACAGCCCAAUCAUUAUGUUAAAUGAUUAUUUCAAGCUUUAAUUUUCUAUUUUUUUAAUGAAUGCCAUACAUUACUGUCUAAUAGAAACUAUUCAAUCAAGCAGUCUUCUAGUCUUGCCUAAAUGCUUCCAGUGAUCAAGAAUUUUUACCUCUCUGACAUAUUCUGUUCUAAGGUAGUAGAGUAGUUUUAAUACUGAUGUAGUUCUGGUAUAUUCAGCAGUGGUUGGCACAUAACAGAGCUAAAAAUAUUAACUCACAAGCUUUGGAUUAGGUAGUUAUAGCUUCAGAUCUCAUUUCUACUUCUUUAAGGCUGUGAUAUUGGAGACAUUAAUCUUGUAAGCCACACUUUCAUCAUCUAUGAAAUGUGGCUGAAUAUUUACCUUAUAGGGCUUUUUGUAAGUACUAAAUGUGAAGUGCUUAGAACAACAUUUGGCAAUACUGGGCAUCAAUAAAUGGUAGUGAGAUACAACAUUAUUGCCACCCUGUGAUGAGUUCUCCCUUGUACCUCUCACUCCAUGACUCUCACCCAUUUGGGCCAUUAGAAUUGCAGUCUAAAGCUUCCAGUGCUUUAAAAGGGUGACUUCAAGUGACACAAGACUUCAGGUUGUCAAAUUCUUCAAGAAGGAUCUGGAUGAAUUAAUGACCCAAUUCCUCCCUACCCUGGUUCCUCCCAUUCUCUGACUACAUGAAGAUUCUGAAGUAAUCCAUUGGCCCUAAGAGCCAAAAAAUUGGUGCAAUUCCAAAUAAAAGGGAUAAAUUACUCUCCUCCUCUGAGCUGAGGAGGAAUUAGAGAAGAAAGAAUGUGAGACUUUAACUGUUCUCCAGACACUAUUCACCUUGGUGCUCCCUACCCCUUACCCAACAUGGUGAAACCCCAUCUGUAGUAAAAACACAAAAAUUAGCCGGGUGUAAUGGCACGUGCCCGUAAUCCCAGCUACUCGAGAGGCUGAAGCAGGAACUCAGGAGCUGUAGGAGGAACUCAGGAGGAGCCAUCAUAUAUCAUAUAUGGUUUGCAUACAUGCAGAUGUACCCGCCCAAGAAGGAAGUGAGAGGUGGAGUCUCACUUGUGCCUCCUUAACUAAGUCCCAUACUCUGUUGCUGGGCUGGGGGAAGGAGACCCUUUUUCUUCCCACAAAAGCACCAAGCCAUACUGUAUAUAACCGCAUUGACUCAGAGGUGAGGCUUCAUCUAAUUCGCAGGAAGAUAGUGGAGGCAUUAGAUGGAUAAAUUUGUGGGCAUUGCACUGCGCUGUUUUCCCACAGCCUUGAGAGUCAACAGAUUCUCUGAAGCAUUUCCCAGGCUGUUAUACUCUGGGAAACAUGAAGCAGAGACUGUGAAAGGGCAAACUGUUAGGCCAAAGAUCUUAGGCAGUUCCAGAGUUUUACACAGCCCAAGGAGCUCUGGGAAUUGCCAGAUAUCUUCUUUGGCUGAGAAUAGUCCAGGUACAACCCUGACAGCAUGAGGACCUGAGGGAUCCUCAGGCUGGGAUAUAAGGGUUUGGUGUGGAAACCUCAGCGAUGACAGUGUGGAAGGCUGACUAUCCUUGAGGACUGGAUUGGCCUGAAAACUGAAGACCUCAACACCAUAUAACAAGAGUGGAAAGCCUUAGGAGGGCAAGGAUUUUUGCCAACUUUGUUCUGUGAUGUAUGUCUGACAUAUAGGCACUCAAUAAAUACUUGUUUAAAGAAUGGAGGAACAAAGGAAGGAAUAAGACAGAUGAGGACCAAGGAUUAUGUGCUCCCUUUCCACUGAUGUCAAGGUGAAUUAGUUAACAACUUCUGCAUAAUAAUAUUAUUACAAACUUUGCCAUUUAAAAUAACACACAUUUAUUAAUCUCAUAGUUUCUAUGGGUAGGGAAUGCCAGGUAGGCUUAGCUAAGUACCUCUGCUUAGAGUCUUAUAAGACUGCAGCCAGGCCAGGCAUAGUGGCUGUGCCUAUAGUCCCAGCACUUUGGGAGGCUGAGGUGGGAGGAUCACUUGAGGCCAGGAGUUGAAGAUCAGCCAUGGCAACAUAGCAAGACCUCGUCUCUACAAAACAAUUUUAAAAAUCAGUCAUGCAUGGUGGUUUGCACAUGUAGUCCCAGCUACUCGGGAGGCUAAGGUGGGAAGAUCACUUGAGUCCAGGACAUUGAGGCUGCAAGUGAGCCGUGAUUGUGCCACUGCACUCUAGCCUUGGUGACAGAGCAAGACCUUAUCUCAAAAACAAAACAAAAAGACUGCUGAGGCUAUGAUCUCAUCUGAAGCCUGACUUGGGGAGGACCCACUUCCAAGUUCACUCAGGUUGUUGGUAAAUUUUAUUUCUUUUGCAGCUGUAGAACUUCUCUUUUGUGGUAGUAGCCUCUUUUGCUGGCUGACUGUUGGCUGGAAGCCAUCCUCAGCCAGAGGGCUGCCCACUCACCAUGUGCAGUUCCCCAACAUGGCUGCUUGCUUCCUCAAACCAACAAGAGAGGAAGAAGUCGGCACCACAGUCUUAUGUAACAUAAUCACACACAUACAAUUGAAUACAUGGAAUCAUUAAAAUCCCAUCACUUUUGCCAUAACCUAUUGGUUCAAAGCAAGUCAUAGGUUCUGCCCACACUCAAUGGGAAGCGACCACAGAAGGCAUGAAUAUCAGGAGGCAGGGAUUAUAGGGGCCACCUUAAGAUUCCUUCUGUAACACAGGGCACAGUUAUUGUUUUCAGAAUCAAACCUGGGAGAAUGUGGAGGGGGAGAAUCUUGAACUGACCUAGUUUACACCGAAUAGCUUUUUUCCUACAAUUGGGCACUUGAGAUAAAAUCUGAUAGACUUAUAAGAAAUAAAAUUACAUUUUGCAGACCUUAAUAUGUAAUUUUAAAAUUUCUACCUAGCCAUAGGAACUACUGACUUUAUAUUAGCAAAUGUGCCUCCACUCUAAUUUCUAUCUCGUGGUCAUAUUUCUACCUGUUGGUGCCAUAGAAAUAUAAUUUAUCUUUUACCUGAUAACCCUUCAAAUAUUUUAACAAGGAUACACUGUGUCUGAAAAUUCCUCUAAGUUAGUAUUCUUAGGCUUGUUAAUCAUGUAUCACACAAAAGUUUUCUAGAUUUUUCCAAAGUAGUUGCUACUAUCUCUACAUGCCCAAAUAUAUUUGUCUCUUUUAAAGACAAGUGCCUAAAACUAGGUUUUGUGUUUUAUAUAAAAAAUUUUAUCUAGAAUUAUCUAAUUUCUGCUAAAUGGGAUUAUAUUUCUCUUGUUGGUAUAAUGAUAAAGAACUUUUAAAACAAUGGGAAUAACAUUCUAAGAAAAACAACAUACUAUAGCAACAACUCUGAG
rnacentral:lncRNA from 1 species